UGGAGUCUCCGUGCUUCCCACUUGCUUCGCGAGCGCAAUCAUAGCGCAGGACUGCUUGCACCGUGCGAAAUGCCACCAAAAAAUAACCCGUGCACGCGAGGACGUGCUCCAGAGCGCAAGUAUCCGCUCGGGCUUUCUCAGUCCUGUGGGCGGCGCUGGGCCACUUACAAGGACCCUGGCCUGCCCGGGUCCUCUGGGAAUGACGCAAGAAAGUCAGGGUCGACUUGACUGCAGACAACACUCACGCGAAGAAAAAACCGGGGAAUGACGCCAAGUGGGACAACCAAAGGUGUUCAGUGCCUCCACAGCAGGCAGAGAGCUAAAAGAAGAAAAGAGACUGCAGGGAGAAAAUAAUUUUCCUGGUUGGAAAAGCUCAGAAGGGAGAUUCAUUUAGGAACUCAAGACCACAAGGUAAAGUGAGCACAUAGUGUCUACUUGGCUUUUGCCAAGCUCUGUGCAGAAGAAACCAUGUUGUUCUUUUUCCUGCUCAUUUAAGUGGGAUAAAAGAAAGUAGAUCAGCGCCACCUUUCAUCAUACACAAAUGUAAAUUUUAAGUGGGUUAAAAAUACAAAUGUAUACAGCAUUACUUGGAAAUUUUUUUAGAAAACAGUAUUAGGAGAAUAUUUUUAUUACCUCAUAGUGCAGGCAAAUUCUGUAAAUAUGGAACAACAAGCACAGAGUAUAAAGGAAAAUUGAUAAAUUUGAUCACAUUGGAAUUUAAACCUUUGGUUUAUCAAAAGAUGUUUAAAACUUGAAAAGACAAGUCAUACACUGGUAGAAGGUAUAUUUGCAAUACGUGAUCUACAAAGGACUCAUUUCCAAAAUAUAUAAGAACUUUACAAUGAGGCGAAUAGAAAAAUGGGCAAAAGAUGGGAAUGGCUCACCAAUAACCAGGGAAACAUAGUAGGAUACCAUUUCACACCUCCUAGAUAGGCAAAAUGAAAAGUCUCACUAUCCUAGUAGCAGGCUCACGGCCAGUGAGGGUGUAAACUGGUUCAGCCACUUUGGUUGUGGCUUUUGUUUUCUACAUUUUUGAAAUUGAGGGGUAACAACCCACAUACAGAGAGCACACAGAGUGCACAAUCUUAGGUAUACAGCUUGAUGUAUUUUACCUACAUACAUACCCAGGUAACCACCACCCACGUCAAGGCAUGGAAUCCUUCCAGAAGCCCAAAGGGUUCCAUCAUACCUCUUCCCACUUCAUCCACCUCUCCCUGAGACAACUGAUAUUCUAACUGCUUUCCUCAAAGACUCAUUCUGCCUGUUUUAGGACUUCAUAUAAACUUUUGGGUUCUUUCAUUCAACAUAGCAUCUGUGAGAUUCAUCCAUGUUGCUGCAGGUAGCAGUAGUUAAGCCCUUUUUAUUGCUAAGUAGUAUUCCAUUGUAUGGAUAUACCAUAUUUGUUUCCCCAUUCUCCUAGUGAUUGGCAAUGUGAACUGGACUAUUAUGAAUGAAGGUGCUGUGAACAUUCUUGACUUGAAGUACAGCUACUCUGGUGAGCAAUUUGGCAAUGUUGUUAAGUUGCAGGUAUGUAUACUCUAUGACCCAGGAAUGCCACUCCCAGGGAAAUGUGUUAGAGAAACUUUUGCACAUGUUAAAAGAGGCAGGAGUUUAAAAUGUCGACAGAUGUGUUAUUCAAAAUUGCAAAAAUAAAAAAAUAAUUUUUUUAAUUGCAAAAAUAAAAUAUUGUGUUGGCCAAAAGGUUCUUUGGGGUUUUUCCAUAAUAUCUUAUGGAAAAACCUGAACGAAUUUUUUGGCCAACCCAAUAAAAUACCUUAAAUGCCUACCAACAGGAGAGUGGAUUGAUAAAUUGUGGUCUAGUCAUACAGUGGAAUAUACUGUAUAUAAGUAAAAGUAAAUGAAAUAAAGCUAAUCAUAUCAACAUGGAUGACUCAUAAACAACAUUGAGAGAAAGAAGUAGGAUGUCAGAGAACACAUACUCUACAAUGCCAUUUAUAUAAAAUUUUAAAACAUGCAGUACAUUACUACCACAAAGGACAAUAUAUUGUUUAGGAACACAUCUGUAUGUAGUAAAAGUACCCAAAAAUGCAUGGCCUUGAUAAACAUAAAAUUCAGAGUAGUGAUUUACUUCACGUUGGGAGGGAAGAGCUUGUGAAACUAGGGAUACAGGGGGUGUCUGCUGAAUUGAUGAGUGCUUUAGUUCUUAAAAUGGGUGAUCAGUACACAAGAGGUUGUUAUUUUAUUCUUUAAACUUGAAAUAUAUCAUAAUUGUUUAAAGAGAUACAGGGAUGGAGACAAGGGCAGUGGUGUGCUGAUAAAUGUUUGACAAUUGGCUGCAAGAGAGGAGUCAUUUACAGUAGUCACCUAUUUCUGUGGCAUAAAUACUUCUGCCGUGGCUGAUUUCACACCAUCAGUAUGAUACCAGUCGACGCUCACGAGCCAGCAUGAGCCAGCUCCAGCACGCCACUGACACUGAAUGUGGGAGCAAACUGCUCUGAAGGCCAGAGCUGGGGGCCCAGGCUUCCUCUGAGGACUUUUUCAAUACCCUAGGACAUAGGUCAAGGGCUGGAUUGUAUUAACUUAUGCUGUUAAGUUACCCCAAAACUAAGCAGGCUAAAACAACAAAUAUUUAUUCUCUCACACAAUUUCUGAGAGUCAGGACUCCAAGACUGACUUAGCUGGGCAGUUCUGGCUCAGGCUGUCUCCUGAGGUUGCAGUCAAGCUCUCAGCCAGAACCGCAGUCAUCUGAAGCUUUGCCUGGACCUGGAUCUGCCUCCUGGCUCCACCUCGAGCUCACUCAGUUCCUUGUCACACCGACCUCUCCAGAGGGCUGCUGGCUUUCUCCAGAGCAAAUGACCAGAGAGACAGAGACAGAGACUGAGAUGGAGGUGCAUUGACUUUCAUAAGCUAAUCUCAGAAAUGACAUACUCUCAGUGUCUACAGUAUCCUAUUGUUUACACACACCAGCCCUGAUAAGAUGUAGAAGGGGAUGACACCAGGGUGCGAAUGCCAGGAAGCAGUGAUCAUUGGAGGUCGGCUACCUCACUGAUCGCAGUUGAAGACCAUUCCCUAGAAGACAAUGGGGUCCCUUCCCCGUCCUGGGUUGAAGAUUGCUACUUCUGCCUGUUGCCACAGUCCCAGCCUUCCCAGCUGGGCUCCUUCUCCUGACCAGCUGCUGACUCGGACUCUCCCUGCUUACACCUCGCUCUCCUGCCUCCUGCCUCUCCCCUGAGACAACCUCACGCACGAGAAUCAUUUUCUUAAGAAGGGUUGUAAUUGCUAACCCCACAGCCUGGGACACGUUCCAGAGAAACCAACACAGGGCUAUGACUAAGGUUCCCGUGCUCUGGACUCUCACCCAGGGUUGGAGAUCCUGGUGCCCUUUCCAAGAGGUUCUGGGAAUCUGGGCUGUAAGCUCCUUGAGAGAUGUUAGAGUUCAUGCCGUAUAUACUUCUGGUUCCUACAGAAUCCACUCUGGGGCCUUUGCUGCACAGUCCAAGUUGGUAAGGAAUUCUCUAAUGAUGGAUUUCCCUCGUGGCGCAGUGGUUAAGAAUUUGCCUGCCAAAGCAGGGGACACGGGUUCGAGCCCUGGUCCAGGAAGUUCCCACAUGCCGCGGAGCAACUAAGCCCGUGCGCCACAACUACUGAGCCUGCGCUCUAGAGCCCGUGAGCCACAACUGAUUAGCCCGCACUCCACAACUACUGAAGCUCACGCGCCUAGAGCCCGCGCUCCGCAACAAGGGAAGCCACUGCAAUGAGAAGCCUGUGCACCACAACCAAGAGUAGCCCCCGCUCGCCGCCACUAGAGAAAGCCCGCGCGCAGCAACUAAGACCCAACGCAGCCAAAAAUAAAUUAAUUAAUUAAAAAAAAAAAGAAUUAUCUGAUAGUCCUUGUUCUAAUUUCUUAGAAAAUCGCUCCCACCUUCUUUCUUCUGUUGCGGGCAGUGCUGGUUCAGAGACACAAGUGAGAACAAGUCCACCGUUCGAGUGACCCAUGACUGGUGGAUCAGUCCCAUCUCAGAACCUGCAGCAACAAAAACAGUGAUCCCAGGGAGACUUUGGGGCCCCAAGGCUCUCAGUGAAGCAGUGGCCCCAGCUGCUGUCUGGUGCCACGGAGCCCAGCAAGUCCCCGGAGUUGGAGAAAGGGCUGUCCCCUGGCACUGCCUUUGUUCUCCUUCCCUGAGAAGAGGGCCACACCUGCUUCACCCUGUCUUUCUCUAAACAGACUUGCUCAGUGACAGGGCUGUGGGGAGGUGUGGUCAAGGAACUAGAGUCUUGGUUACAGAGGAUCAGGGCUGAGGCACCACGUCUCAAACUAUCACUGGAGUGUGCAUCCUGUAACACAGUCAAUCAAGGUGUCCUGGGACAAAGGCAUCCCAAGGUCAAAACCAAGUAAGGGUAACACUGUGAGCUGU